GGUUCGAUUAUGGCUCAGAUUGAACGCUGGCGGGAUGCUUUACACAUGUGUCGAACGGUGCGUCGGACUUCAGUCUGGUGCGAGUGGCGAACGAGAGCCGCAUUUGAACGCCCAUAGCGGGGAUAACUACGCGAAAGCGUAGCUAAUACCGCAUACACCCUUCGGGGGAAAGCGGGGGACCUUGGGCCUCGCACUAGAGCGGCCGAUAUCGGAUUAGCUAGUUGGUGGGGUAACGGCUCACCAAGGCGACGAUCCGUAGCUGGUCAGUAUCGACCAGCCACACUGGGACUGAGACACGGCCUAUAGACUCCUACGGAGCAGCAGGGAAUUUUGGACAAUGGGGGAAACCCUGAUCCAGCCAUCCUGGCGUGUGCGAUGAAGGCCUCGGGUUGUAAAGCACUUUUGGUGAAGAAACGGCACGGGAUAAUACCCUGCAACUGACGGUACCUGCAGAAUAAGCACCGGCUAAUACGUACCAGCAGCCGCGGUAAUACGAAGGCGUUAAUCGGAAUUACCGGGCGCAAAAGCGUGCGCAGGCGGUUCGAAAGAAGAUGUGGAAAUCCUGAGCUUAACUUUGAACUGCAUUUUAACUGAGCUAGAGUGUGUCGAUAGGUAAUUCCGCAGUGAAACGCGUGAUAUGCGGAGGAACACCGAUGCAGUAAAGGCAGCCUGGAUACGCACUGACGCUCAUGCACGAAAGCGUGGGGAGCAAACAGAUUAGAUACCCUGGUAGUCCACGCCCUAAACGAUGUCACAGCUGUUGGGGCCUUCGGGCCUUGCAGCAGCUAACGCGUGAAGUUGACCGCCUGGGGCAUGGUCGUAAGAUUAAAACCAAAGGAAUUGACGGGGACCCGCACAAGCGGUGGAUGAUGUGGAUUAAUUCGAUGCAACACGAAAACCUUUACCUACCCUUGACAUGUCUGAACUUGAAGAGAUUUGGGAGUGUUUGCAGAGAACCGGAACACAGGUGUUGUAUGGCUGUUGCCAAAUGCUGUGUCGUGAGAUGUUGGGUUAAGUCCUGCAUCGAUGCAACCCCAUUAGUUGCUACGAAAGGGCACCUAAUGAGACUGCCGGUGACAAAACCGGAGGAAGGUGGGAUGACAGCCCCAGUGGCCCUUAUGGGUAGGGCUUCACACUCAAGGCUUGUUCGGGACGAGGGUCGCCAACCCGCGAGGGGGAGCCAAUCCCAGAAACCCGAUCGUAGUCCGAUCGCACGUCUGCAACCUCGACUGCGUGAAGUCGGAAUCAAGCAGCAAUCGCAGACGCAUAUUGCGUGAGCAACGGGCCUGGGCACACCGCCCGUCACACCGUUGGAGUGGGUUUACCAGAAGUAGUUAGCCUAACUGCAAGGAGGGCGAUUACCACGGUAGGAUUCAUGACUGGGGUGGUCGUAACAAGGUAG
rnacentral:rRNA from 1 species